CUCCAGAUGUUGCUGAACUACAACUCCCAUGACUCUAUGAAUGAAAAAGGCCGAGAGUCAUGGGAGUUGUAGUUCAGCAACAUCUGGAG
rnacentral:miRNA from 1 species